UGGGGAAUUUUGGACAAUGGGCGAAAGCCUGAUCCAGCAAUGCCGCGUGUGUGAAGAAGGCCUUCGGGUUGUAAAGCACUUUUGUCCGGAAAGAAAUCCUUGGCUCUAAUACAGUCGGGGGAUGACGGUACCGGAAGAAUAAGCACCGGCUAACUACGUGCCAGCAGCCGCGGUAAUACGUAGGGUGCAAGCGUUAAUCGGAAUUACUGGGCGUAAAGCGUGCGCAGGCGGUUUGCUAAGACCGAUGUGAAAUCCCCGGGCUCAACCUGGGAACUGCAUUGGUGACUGGCAGGCUAGAGUAUGGCAGAGGGGGGUAGAAUUCCACGUGUGGCAGUGAAAUGCGUAGAGAUGUGGAGGAAUACCGAUGGCGAAGGCAGCCCCCUGGGCCAAUACUGACGCUCAUGCACGAAAGCGUGGGGAGCAAAACAGGAUUAGAUACCCUGGUAGUCCACGCCCUAAACGAUGUCAACUAGUUGUUGGGGAUUCAUUCCUUAGUAACGUAGCUAACGCGUGAAGUUGACCGCCUGGGGAGUACGGUCGCAAGAUUAAAACUCAAAUGAAUUGACGGGGUCAUAGCUGUUUCCU
rnacentral:rRNA from 1 species